UUGACGCUGAGGUUGGUACUUGUACCGACUGGAUGAGCAGCGAACGGGUGAGUAACGCGUGGGGAAUCUGCCUUUGAGCGGGGGACAACAUUUGGAAACGAAUGCUAAUACCGCAUAAAAACUUUAAACACAAGUUUUAAGUUUGAAAGAUGCAAUUGCAUCACUCAAAGAUGAUCCCGCGUUGUAUUAGCUAGUUGGUGAGGUAAAGGCUCACCAAGGCGAUGAUACAUAGCCGACCUGAGAGGGUGAUCGGCCACAUUGGGACUGAGACACGGCCCAAACUCCUACGGGAGGCAGCAGUAGGGAAUCUUCGGCAAUGGACGAAAGUCUGACCGAGCAACGCCGCGUGAGUGAAGAAGGUUUUCGGAUCGUAAAACUCUGUUGGUAGAGAANAACGUUGGUGAGAGUGGAAAGCUCAUCAAGUGACGGUAACUACCCAGAAAGGGACGGCUAACUACGUGCCAGCAGCCGCGGUAAUNCGUAGGUCCCGAGCGUUGUCCGGAUUUAUUGGGCGUAAAGCGAGCGCAGGUGGUUAUUAAGUCUGGUGUAAANGCAGUGGCUCANCCNUUGUAUGCNUUGGA
rnacentral:rRNA from 1 species